UGUGUCUCGGGCGUGUGCUACUCAAGAAAACCAAAGUCUUAGUACUUGAUGAGGCUACUGCAUCAGUCGACACAGCAACUGAUGGCAUGAUUCAGCAAACGCUUGCACAACACUUUAGCGACUCUACUGUGAUAAUGAUCGCCCAUCGGAUCACCUCUGUGCUUGAUAGCGACAUGGUUUUGGUUUUAGAACAAGGUUUGAUUGAUGAAUAUGAUCCUCCAAAGAAGUUGCUGGAAGAUAGAUCGUCUUCAUUUGCAAAGCUUGUUGCUGAGUAUAGCAUGAGAUCGAAUUCCAGUUUUGAAACUUAGCUGCAACAAUCUAACUAGUUUCUUCCUGUAAGCUGUCUAAAAUUACUUAAGAUCGUGCUAAAUAUCAAAGAUGACUUUUUCGGUCAUAUAUUUCAUGCCCUUUUUAGGUCUACGUUUUAGGUUGUUGAAUCAUCCUAGAAUAUUGUUGGCCUGUGACGAUUUGUUUGGCUGAAUUAUGUGAAAAAAAGGAUCAAGCAAAUUCCUUUUUCAUUC